UGGGGGAUAUUGCACAAUGGGCGAAAGCCUGAUGCAGCGACGCCGCGUGGGGGAUGAAGGCUUUCGGGUUGUAAACCUCUUUCGCUAUCGAACAAGGCUCGCUUAGGGUGGGUUGAGGGUAGGUGGAGAAGAAGCGCCGGCUAACUACGUGCCAGCAGCCGCGGUCAUACGUAGGGCGCGAGCGUUGUCCGGAAUUAUUGGGCGUAAAGGGCUUGUAGGCGGCUUGUUGCGCCUGCUGUGAAAACGCGGGGCUUAACUUCGCGCGUGCAGUGGGUACGGGCAGGCUUGAGUGUGGUAGGGGUGACUGGAAUUCCAGGUGUAGCGGUGGAAUGCGCAGAUAUCUGGAGGAACUCCGAUGGCGAAGGCAGGUCACUGGGCCAUUACUGACGCUGAGGAGCGAAAGCAUGGGUAGCGAACAGG
rnacentral:rRNA from 1 species